AUACCAUGAUGAGGACACCUUCUGAGCAAUUCCUUGAAUCUUUCCCAAGCCUUAUACAGGCUUUCAUCUUCAAGUUGGUGGAAGGAAGUAAUCUCAUUCCACAACUU
rfam:Citrus sinensis cultivar Ridge Pineapple sweet orange scaffold00899_contig_8, whole genome shotgun sequence.